rnacentral:tRNA from 1 species
UCCCUGGUGGUCCAGUGGUUAAGAUUCCACACUUUCAAUGUAGGGGGUGCAGGUUUAAUCCCUGGUCAGGGAA